rnacentral:rRNA from 1 species
UGGGGAAUUUUGGACAAUGGGCGCAAGCCUGAUCCAGCCAUGCCGCGUGCAGGAUGAAGGCCUUCGGGUUGUAAACUGCUUCUGUACGGAACGAAAAGGUGCCUUCUAAUAAAGGGCGCUCAUGACGGUACCGUAAGAAUAAGCACCGGCUAACUACGUGCCAGCAGCCGCGGUAAUACGUAGGGUGCGAGCGUUAAUCGGAAUUACUGGGCGUAAAGCGUGCGCAGGCGGUUUUGUAAGACAGAGGUGAAAUCCCCGGGCUCAACCUGGGAACUGCCUUUGUGACUGCAAGGCUGGAGCGCGGCAGAGGGCGAUGGAAUUCCGCGUGUAGCAGUGAAAUGCGUAGAUAUGCGGAGGAACACCGAUGGCGAAGGCAAUCCCCUGGGCCUGCACUGACGCUCAUGCACGAAAGCGUGGGGAGCAAACA